rnacentral:rRNA from 1 species
CGGUUCCGAUGUUUUAGCAAUAAGGCGUCGGAAUAGUGGCGAAAGGGUGCGUAACACGUGGCUGACCUACCUCGAAGUGGGGGACAGCCCGGCGAAAGCCGGGUUAAUACCGCAUGUGAUCGCGAGAUCAAAGCUGGGGACCCGCAAGGGCCUGGCGCUUCGAGAUGGGGCCGCGGCCUAUCAGGUAGUUGGCGGGGUAAUGGCCCACCAAGCCGAUGACGGGUAGCUGGUCUGAGAGGACGACCAGCCACACUGGAACUGAGACACGGUCCAGACACCUACGGGUGGCAGCAGCCGAGGAUUUUUCUCAAUGGGCGCAAGCCUGAAGGAGCGACGCCGCGUGGGGGAUGACGGUCUUCGGAUUGUAAACCCCUGUCAUCUGGGAACAAUGGUUGCGACCCAAUACGUCGCAACUUGAUAGUACCGGAAGAGGAAGCCGUGGCUAACUCUGUGCCAGCAGCCGCGGUAAUACAGAGACGGCGAGCGUUGUUCGGAUUCAUUGGGCGUAAAGGGUCCGUAGGCGGUCGAGCAAGUCGGGUGUGAAAUCCCGCAGCCUAACUGCGGAAGGUCAUUCGAAACUGCUCGGCUCGAGGACUGGAGAGGAGACUGGAAUGGUCGGUGUAGCGGUGAAAUGCGUAGAGAUCGACCAGAACACCGGUGGCGAAGGCGGGUCUCUGGACAGUUCCUGACGCUGAGGGACGAAAGCUAGGGGAGCAAACGGGAUUAGAUACCCCGGUAGUCCUAGCCCUAAACUGUGCUCACUUGGUGUGGGGGGAGUCGACCCCCUCCGUGCCGGAGUUA